rnacentral:rRNA from 1 species
UACGGAGGGUGCAAGCGUUAUCCGGAUUCACUGGGUUUAAAGGGUGUGUAGGCGGGUAUUUAAGUCAGUGGUGAAAUCUCCAGGCUCAACCUGGAAACUGCCAUUGAUACUAUUUAUCUUGAAUAUUGUUGAGGUAGGCGAAUAUAUCAUGUAGCGGUGAAAUGCUUAGAUAUGAUAUAGAACACCGAUUGCGAAGGCAGCUUACUAAACAAUCAUUGACGCUGAGGCACGAAAGCGUGGGGAUCAAACAGG